rnacentral:rRNA from 1 species
UACGUAGGGUGCAAGCGUUAAUCGGAAUUACUGGGCGUAAAGCGCGCGUAGGCGGCCGCUUAAGUCGGAUGUGAAAGCCCCUGGCUCAACUGGGGAAGUGCACCCGAAACUGAGUGGCUUGAGUACUAAAGAGGGUCGCGGAAUUCCCGGUGUAGAGGUGAAAUUCGUAGAUAUCGGGAGGAACACCGGUGGCGAAGGCGGCGACCUGGGUAGAUACUGACGCUGAGGCGCGAAAGCGUGGGGAGCAAACAGG